rnacentral:rRNA from 1 species
CUCAGGACGAACGCUGGCGGCGUGCCUAACACAUGCAAGUCGAGCGGGACAUACGACGGAGUCAAAGUUUCGGAUGGAGACGAAGAUGUAUGUUCUAGCGGCGGACGGGUGAGUAACGCGUGAGCAACCUGUCCCUUACAGGGGGAUAACACAGCGAAAGUUGUACUAAUACCGCAUGAGACCACGGGAGGACAUCCUCCAGGGGUCAAAGGAGCAAUCCGGUAAGGGGUGGGCUCGCGUCCGAUUAGAUAGUUGGUGAGGUAACGGCCCACCAAGUCGACGAUCGGUAGCCGACCUGAGAGGGUGAUCGGCCACAUUGGGACUGAGACACGGCCCAAACUCCUACGGGAGGCAGCAGUGGGGAAUAUUGGGCAAUGGGGGAAACCCUGACCCAGCAACGCCGCGUGAGGGAAGAAGGUUUUCGGAUCGUAAACCUCUGUCCUUGGUGAAGAGUGAGAGACGGUAGCCAAGGAGGAAGCCCCGGCUAACUACGUGCCAGCAGCGGC